rnacentral:rRNA from 1 species
UGGGGGAUAUUGCACGAAUGGGGGAAACCCUGAUGCAGCGACGCCGCGUGUGGGAAGACGGUCCUCUGGAAUUGUAAACCACUGUCCCCAGGGACGAAGAUGACGGUACCUGGGGAGGAAGCUCCGGCUAACUACGUGCC